rnacentral:rRNA from 1 species
GAUGAACGCUGGCGGCGUGCCUAAUACAUGCAAGUCGAACGAAACUUCUUUAUCACCGAGUGCUUGCACUCACCGAUAAAGAGUUGAGUGGCGAACGGGUGAGUAACACGUGGGCAACCUGCCCAAAAGAGGGGGAUAACACUUGGAAACAGGUGCUAAUACCGCAUAACCAUAGUUACCGCAUGGUAACUAUGUAAAGGGUGGCUAUACUACCGCUUUUGGAUGGGCCCGCGGCGCAUUAGCUAGUUGGUAGGGUAAAGGCUUACCAAGGCAAUGAUGCGUAGCCGAAUUGAGAGGUUGAUCGGCCACAUUGGGACUGAGACACGGCCCAAACUCCUACGGGAGGCAGCAGUAGGGAAUCUUCCACAAUGGGCGAAAGCCUGAUGGAGCAACGCCGCGUGGGUGAAGAUGGUCUUCGGAUCGUAAAACCCUGUUGUUAGAGAAGAAAGUGCGUGAGAGUAACUGUUCACGUUUCGACGGUAUCUAACCAGAAAGCCACGGCUAACUACGUG